UGUUCUACCUCUUGACAUGUAGUAUGAACAUAAAGCACAGUUGAUUCCUGAGCUGUGAUGACUUUCCACUGACCAUACUACUGCAAUGAUGUUAUUCUGGGCCAAACUUCGGAAUCAAUUCUUGUCUGCUGCCUGAUUCAAUUAUUUUUAAUGCACCCUGUGGAUUUUUACUUGCUAAAGUAGAAAGAAGAUCCCAACAUUUGAUGAGAAAAUAUACAGAAGGCAUAGGUCACAUGUCUGACUCACAGCUGCGAUGUGGUGGAUCCAAAUCUCUCUGAGGCCAAAUACUGCCCAGCUCGAAUGAACGCUAUGCUCCAUGCCUGAAACAACUGCUCCAGCCCUCAGAAAAGAGUCUCCCAUUCAACUGAAGUCUGCAUAUCAGAUUCCCGUGGGAUAAUUCAUAAAGGCUCCUUGAAGUUAAUUCUGGGUAUAUCCUGAAAUAGAGGGUCUCCUCUGUUUUUUCUUCUUUUUUUCCACAACUGAGGAGACACUAGUGCCUACUUAUCUCAAUAAUGGGAUUUCUCUUUGAUGCAAUUGCACAAAAAUGACAAUCAUCAUGAAGCGUAAAAAUUGCAUUUGUUGAAGGGAGGCUGAUCCCGGGUGCACUGUGGCAGGUGGCAGUAUAGAUUUUUGUGAAGCAGCAGUGUGCUGUGAUAUGAGUAGCAGAUGAAGAAGGAAGGAAAUGAAGUCACUCAAUUCUUAUAUGGCAUAAUUACUCUUAUAUUUGGAAUCAACAUGUGGAAUUUCUAGAGUUUCUCUAGUUAAGAAAUUUGAAAAUGGCCUGACUAGAUUAUUUUGGCUUGAGGACUCUCAGGAGAUUCACUUCAGAUUUUGUUCAUUACUGCAACCAUUUGAAGGCUUUAUUGCAGAUAGAGAAUACUCUUCCAAAGUGCCUUAAUUACAUG
rnacentral:lncRNA from 1 species